CCGCGACAGCUUCCAAUGACCUGAAGGCAUUUACUGAAGGAGCUGUGUUAAGUUUUCAUAACAUCUGCUAUCGAGUAAAACUGAAGAGUGGCUUUCUACCUUGUCGAAAACCAGUUGAGAAAGAAAUAUUAUCGAAUAUCAUGGGAUCAUGAAACCUGGUCUCAACGCCAUCCUGGGACCCACAGGUGGAGGCAAAUCUUGUUAUUAGAUGUCUUAGCUGCAAGGAAAGAUCCAAGUGGAUUAUCUGGAGAUGUUCUGAUAAAUGGAGCACCG
rnacentral:lncRNA from 1 species